CAAAGGAGGGAGCACCCAGGAUUUCCUAUCAGCUUGUCCAAAUGUGGGACAGAAGAGGAAGAGGAAGGGUUAAGACCUAAAAGCUGCCAGCAAACAAAAUAAUGGAACCAGACUCCUUAUUACAGGGUGUGAACUGAUGAAGAACUCAGUCCAGAGAAUUACUAUGUAGUGCCAGCUCACAGCUGUAGCACAGUGGGAGAAGCACUAGGCUUUUAGGCUUAGGAGAUUCAAGACAAUUCACCAUCCUUCUGGGCUCAGAUUUCUCACAAAACACAAACCAGGUCUUCAGCUCGGGGGAUGGAGCCGCUGAAAAAAGCUGAGUUUUCAAAUAAUCCUUGUGAAGAACAGGACAAAGAAGUGAUCGCAGGCACAGGAGAACUGCUGCUAGGCAAUUCUAAUGGCCUAUGGGAGACACCGAAAGACACAGAAUGUCAGAGACACAGGAUGGGACAACUCAGAAGUAGUAGUCACUACCACAGGAUGGAAAAGCCUAGAAUAAAAGGCUCAUUCUCAGCUCGCCACUAACCUGACUGACAACCAAACCAAGAAAGUGAAUGAUAAAAGUCUGGGAAGUUUCAAGUUUACCAAAAAUGAAGUUUCAGGAUUAUCUGUUGCAUCUGCUGCUCCAAUUCUAGUUACCACUGAGAAAUGAAGCAUUGAUACUAAUACAAUUGAA